UACAGAGGUGGCAAGCGUUGUUCGGAAUUACUGGGCGUAAAGGGCGCGUAGGCGGUGCGGUGCGGUUUCGGUGAAAUCCCUCGGCCCAACCGAGGAACAGCCGAGGCUACGGCCGUGCUAGACGGCAUCAGGGGACAGUGGAACUCCCGGUGGAGCGGUGAAAUGCGUAGAUAUUGGGAGGAACACCGGUGGCGAAGGCGGCCCCCUGGACCGGUACUGACGCUGAGGCGCGAAAGCGUGGGGAGCGAACAGG
rnacentral:rRNA from 1 species